UGAGGAAUAUUGGUCAAUGGGCGAGAGCCUGAACCAGCCAAGUCGCGUGAGGGAAGAAUGGUCUAUGGCCUGUAAACCUCUUUUGUCAAGGAAGAAUAAGGAUGACGAGUCAUUCGAUGCCAGUACUUGACGAAUAAGCAUCGGCUAACUCCGUGCCAGCAGCCGCGGUAAUACGGGGGAUGCGAGCGUUAUCCGGAUUUAUUGGGUUUAAAGGGCGCGUAGGCGGGACGGCAAGUCAGCGGUAAAAGACUGCAGCUAAACUGUAGCACGCCGUUGAAACUGUUGACCUCGAGACGAGACGAGGGAGGCGGAACAAGUGAAGUAGCGGUGAAAUGCAUAGAUAUCACUUGGAACCCCGAUAGCGAAGGCAGCUUCCCAGGCUCGUUCUGACGCUGAUGCGCGAGAGCGUGGGUAGCGAACAGGAUUAGAUACCCUGGUAGUCCACGCCGUAAACGAUGCUCACUGGAUCUUGGCGAUACACGGCCAGGGUUCAAGCGAAAGUAUUAAGUGAGCCACCUGGGGAGUACGUCGGCAACGAUGAAACUCAAAGGAAUUGACGGGGGCCCGCACAAGCGGAGGAACAUGUGGUUUAAUUCGAUGAUACGCGAGGAACCUUACCCGGGUUUAAAUGUAGAUUGCAUGAGGUGGAAACACUUCUUCCCUUCGGGGCUAUUUACAAGGUGCUGCAUGGUUGUCGUCAGCUCGUGCCGUGAGGUGUCGGGUUAAGUCCCAUAACGAGCGCAACUCCUAUCGCCAGUUGCCAUCGGUUCAAGCCGGGCACUCUGUCGAGACUGCCACCGUAAGGUGCGAGGAAGGCGGGGAUGACGUCAAAUCAGCACGGCCCUUACACCCGGGGCGACACACGUGUUACAAUGGCCGGUACAGAGGGCAGCCACGGGGUGACCCGGAGCGAAUCUCUAAAGCCGGUCGUAGUUCGGACUGGAGUCUGCAACCCGACUCCACGAAGUUGGAUUCGCUAGUAAUCGCGCAUCAGCCAUGGCGCGGUGAAUACGUUCCC
rnacentral:rRNA from 1 species